CAGAAUUAAAUGACAUUCACUUCCUGACAUUUUCGUGCUAUAAGUAGUGCUGACCUGUUGUUUUAUAAUGAAAAUAAUCCCCGUUUUAAUUAUAAACCUAAGAGGUUCACACGUAGAAAUGGCCGAUUUGCAUGCGACGACUAUUCUAUAUAUGGAUUUUAGAAAUAUUAUGUAUUAAGGGCGGACCAUUUGAUGGGGUGGAUUUUCAGUGAGCCCGAUCAU